UACGUAGGGUGCAAGCGUUGUCCGGAAUUAUUGGGCGUAAAGAGCUCGUAGGCGGUCUGUCGCGUCGAAUGUGAAACCCGGGGCUCAACCCCGGGCCUGCAUUCGAUACGGGCAGACUAGAGUUCGGUAGGGGAGUCUGGAAUUCCUGGGUGUAGCGGUGAAAUGCGCAGAUAUCAGGAGGAACACCGGUGGCGAAGGCGGGACUCUGGGCCGAUACUGACGCUGAGGAGCGAAAGCGUGGGGAGCAAACAGG
rnacentral:rRNA from 1 species